rnacentral:rRNA from 1 species
UAAGGAAUAUUGGUCAAUGGACGCAAGUCUGAACCAGCCAUGCCGCGUGAAGGAUGAAGGUCCUCUGGAUUGUAAACUUCUUUUAUCUGGGACGAAAACGGGAUUUUUAUCUCAAUUGACGGUACCAGAGGAAUAAGCACCGGCUAACUCCGUGCCAGCAGCCGCGGUAAUACGGAGGGUGCGAGCGUUAUCCGGAUUUACUGGGUUUAAAGGGUGCGUAGGUGGGCUUAUAAGUCAGUGGUGAAAUCUCCGAGCUUAACUUGGAAACUGCCGUUGAUACUAUAGGUCUUGAAUUAUCUGGAGGUAAGCGGAAUAUGUCAUGUAGCGGUGAAAUGCUUAGAUAUGACAUAGCACACCAAUUGCGAAGGCAGCUUACUACAUAUAAAUUGACGCUGAGGCACGAAAGCGUGGGGAUCAAACA